AGUGAACGCUGGCGGUAGGCCUAACACAUGCAAGUCGAACGGCAGCACAGUAAGAGCUUGCUCUUACGGGUGGCGAGUGGCGGACGGGUGAGGAAUACAUCGGAAUCUACUUUUUCGUGGGGGAUAACGUAGGGAAACUUACGCUAAUACCGCAUACGACCUACGGGUGAAAGCAGGGGAUCUUCGGACCUUGCGCGAUUGAAUGAGCCGAUGUCGGAUUAGCUAGUUGGCGGGGUAAAGGCCCACCAAGGCGACGAUCCGUAGCUGGUCUGAGAGGAUGAUCAGCCACACUGGAACUGAGACACGGUCCAGACUCCUACGGGAGGCAGCAGUGGGGAAUAUUGGACAAUGGGCGCAAGCCUGAUCCAGGCAUACCGGGUGGGUGAAGAAGGCCUUCGGGUUGUAAAGCCCUUUUGUUGGGAAAGAAAAGCAGCAGGUUAAUACCCCGCUGUUCUGACGGUACCCAAAGAAUAAGCACCGGCUAACUUCGUG
rnacentral:rRNA from 1 species